AUUAUGUAACCUCCCGAUUAGCAAGGUUUCCUGGCCGCUGAUUGGUCGAGGCCUUCGUAAUCAGCGGCAGUCUACUUCACACUUAGCGUCCUACGACAGUCAUCGUCUUACUCUCAGCUUUGUCUUCAAUUUGGAUUAUUUUCACCGUUUUCUCUUUGCUUUAAUUGAUUGAUGGAUUACACGAGGACCCGGAUUAGCGCAUGAAGGGUUGAUACCAAGUCAUUAGAGGAAUCCCACUUUUUUCCUGGCACCAGUCCAAUUUUGGCAUUUGUAUGGAACUUGCCUAAUGCAACCAAGAUGUCAGCAAAGCGACCUCCUAAAAGGCGACGAGUUGACCCAGUGUUGACAGCGCCUGAUAAUUCAGAGACAGUUAGGUCCAUAACAGAUGCUGUCACAGCACAGGUUCUGGAUAACUUAAGGGCAGCGGGAAUCGUAUCACCCACAACUACAGUCCAGAGUGGUGCAGCGGGGGAAUCAACUUCUAGCGAAAGUAGGAAUCAAGGCAGUGACACCCCUAUUAUUCAUAUUCCUGCACAAAAUAUUGCAUCUACUUUCGACAACUUGAGGCAAGAAUACAAACCAUUGGGCAGGCCGUUGUAUACAAAGAUUAACUCCAAAUUACAGGAGAAAAUUCUCAGUAGAGAAUUCAUAGACAUGUCCGACAUUUUGGUUAAUCACCAACCAGCAGAACUCAAUUUACACUUAGCUGUAAAAAACCAACAAGUAGGGUUAACCUCUAGUAAGAAACGGAAAUUUGUGUCCAUUGAAACCUGGACAGAUGCUUUUUGUAUUUUUGCUUCGGUCUUAAGAAAAGCCAACCCACACCCGACAUUGGCAGAGGAUUUGGCUAUUUAUAUGGAUCUGAUACGACAGGUCCAUAGGGAUGGGGGGGGGGGAUUGGUAUUUCUACGAUACCAAUUUCCGUCAAGCAAGGCAAAAUGACGACACAUUGUCAUGGGGCACGGUCGAUCAGGUGCUACACACCAGGGCACUGAAUAAGCACAAACAAAAUUCAUCUACCAUCACUAAGCCCUUUCCAAAACAAGCCUCCCGUAAAACAUGCUUCAGAUUUAACGGGGGGCGGGCAUGCGAUGGAACGUGUGGUUACCUCCAUUCAUGCUACACUUGCAAAGGCAACCACCCAAAUUCACAAUGCACCAAACCCGGGAACCAAUCAAAAGGGGGGUUUGAAAAAAAGGUGAUUCAUGGGGAAAUAAAAAAUCCCAGUCAAUGUCCUACGAAAGGGAGCAAACCACCAAUAAAAACUAUACAAAAUAAGAUAGUUACACCUAUUUGUACCAAAACACUGGCGCGUUAUCUUGAGGGUUAUGACGAUGGUAAGAAAUCCUACCUCAUUCAAGGCUUUACAUAUGGUUUUCCUUUAGAAUUUCAAGGACACAGGGAAUCAUUUUCUUGUGCAAACUUAAAAUCAGCUUUAGACCACCCAGCCGUAGUUGAAGAAAAAAUUAAAAAAGAAUUAGAUUUCAAAAGGGUAAGAGGGGCCUUUUAAAAUUAAACCGUUAGAUAUUUUUCGCGUUUCUCCUUUGGGGCUGGUACCUAAAAAAGCACCGGGAACCUGGCGUUUAAUACAUCAUUUGUCAUAUCCAGAUAAAAAUCUAAAUUCUGUUAAUGCAGGGAUAUCGGAUGAAUCUGCAGCAGUUCAAUAUGCAGGUAUUGAGCAAGCAAUUCAACGAAUCAAAACAUUAGGGGAAAGUACAUAUAUGUGUAAAACGGAUAUUAGAUCUGCAUUUAGGAUAGUGCCUGUUAACCCUCGGGAUUUUGGUUUGCUUGGUUUUAAAUGGGACGGAAAU